rnacentral:rRNA from 1 species
CCUACGGGUGGCAGCAGUGAGGAAUCUUGGUCAAUGGGCGCGAGCCUGAACCAGCCAAGUAGCGUGAAGGAUGACUGCCCUACGGGUUGUAAACUUCUUUUAUAUGGGAAUAAAAUGUUCCACGUGUGGGAUUUUGUAUGUACCAUAUGAAUAAGGAUCGGCUAACUCCGUUCCAUCAGCCGCGGUAAUACGGAGGGUCCGAGCGUUGGCCGGAUUUAUUGGGUUUAAAGGGAGCGUAGGUGGAUUGUUAAGUCAGUUGUGAAAGUUUGCGGCUCAACCGGAAAAUUGCAGUUGAAACUGGCAGUCUUGAGUACAGUAGAGGUGGGCGGAAUUCGUGGUGUAGCGGUGAAAUGCUUAGAUAUCACGAAGAACUCCGAUUGCGAAGGCAGCUCACUGGACUGCAACUGACACUGAGGCUCGAAAGUGUGGGUAGCAAACAGGAUUAGAUACCCGAGUAGUC